UUUUAGUAGCUUAAGAUUAAAGCAUAAUAUUGAAGAUAUUAAAAUAGUUAAACUCUAAAAUAU
rnacentral:tRNA from 1 species